GAUGACUUUACAAUCACAGAGAGCUGUUGACUGACUCCAUGUUUGAUGUCUUUACAAUCACAGAGAGCUGUUGACUGACUCCAUGUUUGAUGACUUUACAAUCACAGAGAGCUGUUGACUGACUCCAUGUCUGAUGACUACAAUCACAGAGAGAUGUUGACUGACUCCAUGUUUGAUGUCUUUACAAUCACAGAGAGCUGUUGACUGACUCCAUGUCUGAUGACUUUACAAUCACAGAGAGCUGUUGACUGACUCCAUGUCUGAUGACUACAAUCACAGAGAGCUGUUGACUGACUCCAUGUCUGAUGUCUUUACAAUCACAGAGAGCUGUUGACUGACUCCAUGUUUGAUGUCUUUACAAUCACAGAGAGCUGUUGACUGACUCCAUGUUUGAUGACUUUACAAUCACCAAAGUUGUUCUUCUUUGGACAACCGUUCUAAAACCAUGAAAGGGCUUUUUGGUUUCUUCUUCUUCAGUGUCUGAUAAGAGAACAUUCUAGUGUUUCUAUGCAAAAGGAAACAUGCUUUAUUUGACCGUGGAAAGAUCCAGUAUCUCCAAUACGAUUCUAAAGGACUUGACUUUGCAAUAAGACCAUGGAAGACUAUCAGUCUGUGGAUGAUGUGUUUUAUAAAUGGUUUUGAUAAAAUAAUACUCUGGAUUCAUGCAUGUGUUGUCUGUUUACCUUAAGCCAUGAAAUGGAGGAAGAACCUUGAAUAAGGCAGAGGCAUCUUUAAACAGUGAUAUAUUUCAGAUAGUAGAAUCAGUGACCCCUGCUGGUUGGAAUAUGACAUUGCAGGAUGGUGAUGAAUAAACUGGAGGCUGGCUGGCUGGCUGAAGGAUGGAUGAACACAAUGGACUCAACUUCCACAUUGUUCUGUUCAUAACUCAUCAGUCUUUGGUCUACACACCACAAACACAUCAAGUAUCUACUAUUAAAUGUGGGCUGGGUUUUCACUGUUGGAAAUGGAUGGACUGCUUCAGGAAAAACCUUCAAGUCACAUAUCAUAUAUGCAAUCUAAGACUUACUAAACCAGUUGACUUAGUUGGCUUACUGCAAAACAAGAACCAUUACUGACCACCUACUUCUGUGUUGGACUACUAGGUGGAACAGCCAUUCUGUUAGAAGGAACAACGUUACAAUGUGAUGGACUACUAGGUGGAACAGUCAUUCUGUUAGAAGGAACAACGUUACAAUGUGAUGGACUACUAGGUGGAACAGGCAUUCUAUUAGAAGGAACAACGUUACAAUGUGAUGGACUACUAGGUGGAACAGUCAUUCUGUUAGAAGGAACAACGUUACAAUGUGUUGAUAUCAGGAUCUCCAAGGUGUCUUUCAUCUGAGUUUUACUGUUUGACUCCAAAGACUCUUAUGAUGGUUUAUAGUUUUUAGCUAAAUUCAUGCAUUAAAUUAUUAUAUUUUUCACGACAAUCUCUUCUUUCUAAUUCAAAUGCCUUUAGUGAUGAAUGAAAUUAGUAUAAAAUGCAUCAUUGAGAAUAAUAGGAUGGGAUACUACUAGUAUUGCUGCUGGACAUUAAACACUACUGUCAGAUGUUACUGUCUAGUGAUUUUCUAAGUGGUGUUUUUUAUCAGUCUGUCCCUUUCACUUUGACAGUGAUGCUCUAAUGAUGUCAUAUCAUCAUGUGGUAACUGUCCUCAUGAUGCAGUAUUGUUGAUAAAAUAUGCUGUUGCCCAUGUGUAUGUAUGUAAUGUGAUGUCCUGAGUCCUGUGUGUCUUCUGUGUGUCUGGCUUGGCUUGUGUCCCACGUGGUACCCUUUAACCCUAUGUAGUGCACUACUUUUGACCAGGGCCCAUAGGGAAUAGGGAACCAUUUGGAACACAGCCUGAGAGUCUAGGAGGCAAUAUGAUUCACACAGCACAGUUUGAUUGACAUGUAGGAUAAUCUGCAAUGGAUCAGUAAUAAUACAAUGAAUAAACUUCCCCUUUAUUUUAAAGUUGUUCUCAGUUUUGAUGGUUGAAUUUUAUCCA